GCUGGCGGCGUGCCUAACACAUGCAAGUCGAACGAGAAAGUGGAGCAAUCCAUGAGUAAAGUGGCGACCGGGUGAGUAACACGUGACUAACCUGCCUUCGAGUGGGGGAUAACCUCGGGAAACCGGGGCUAAUACCGCAUAAUGCCUACGGGUUAAAGGAGCAAUUCGCUUGAAGAGGGGGUCGCGGCUGAUUAGCUAGUUGGCGGGGUAACGGCCCACCAAGGCGAUGAUCGGUAGCCGGCCUGAGAGGGCGCACGGCCACACUGGAACUGAAACACGGUCCAGACUCCUACGGGAGGCAGCAGUGGGGAAUUUUGCGCAAUGGGGGAAACCCUGACGCAGCAACGCCGCGUGGAGGAUGAAGUCCUUUGGGACGUAAACUCCUUUCGACCGGGACGAUUAUGACGGUACCGGUGGAAGAAGCCCCGGCUAACUUCGUGCCAGCAGCCGCGGUAAUACGAGGGGGGCAAGCGUUGUUCGGACUUAUUGGGCGUAAAGGGCGCGUAGGCGGUGCGGUAAGUCACCUGUGAAAC
rnacentral:rRNA from 1 species